rnacentral:rRNA from 1 species
AUUGAACGCUGGCGGCAGGCCUAACACAUGCAAGUCGAACGAGUGGCGGACGGGUGAGUAAUGUCUGGGACACCGCCUGAUGGAGGGGGAUAAAUACUGGAAACUGUAGCUAAUACCGCAUACCAUCAGAUGUGCCCAGAUGGGAUUAGCUAGUUGGUGGGGUACUGGCUCACCAAGGCGACGAUCCCUAGCUGGUCUGAGAGGAUGACCAGCCACACUGGAACUGAGACACGGUCCAGACUCCUACGGGAGGCAGCAGUGGGGAAUAUGGCACAAUGGGCGCAAGCCUGAUGCAGCCAUGCCGCGUGUAUGAAGAAGGCCUUCGGGUUGUAAAGUACUUUCAGCGGGGAGGCGUUACCGGCAGAAGAAGCACCGGCUAACUCCGUGCCAGCAGCCGCGGUAAUAC